AAGUCAGCACAUUUGGACUAACGGGGGGUUGUUCCUGCAGCCCUUGGCUUCUGUUGAGUAUCUAUAUAUACAUUGCAUUGAAGGGUCGUGUUCCAAUAUAUUCAGCCAUGGACAAAAGGGUGCUGGUGCUCCUCUUGUGUAUGCAGGCCUUCCUGCUCCUCACUGCGGUGAAUUUGGCAGAUGCCGCCAUUGGAUCAGCGGACAAUCGGCAUCGCAAUCAGGAAGCAGCAAGACGAGCAAAACAACGCUGUUCCCUGAGACUGGGUUCGGGCUGCCCAGUUAAUUUGAUUGAAGCAGAGUCCUGAAAAAGGCAACAUCACCCUGCAAGGCGCCACACCAAAGUCUGUAAAGACGAGUUGCAAGAAAAUCAGCUUUUGCUUUUUUUUUCAGCUGUCUGAAGCUUUCAGUAUUAGUGUUGUUCAAUGGAGGAGUGGAAAGGUUCAUAAAGUGUGCUAUGUCAUCCUAUAACCUGUGAAACUGCAUUUAAUGCAUUGCUGAUUAAUCAUAUGGAAUAAGAGCUCAUAUUGACGAUUUCUUUGGGGAAAUGUAGUUUCCACAAAUAUAUAUUUACAUACAUUUUUUUUUCCUUUCGUACUUAUCGGUUUUCUUCCAAAAUUUGACUUUCCUCCUCCAAAAAAGUAUUUUUUGAAAGUACAAGUGUUUACAAGAAAAUGUUGCUGCACCUUUAAAUAAACUAUUU